CUUUUAUGGAGAGUUUGAUCCUGGCUCAGGACGAACGCUGGCGGCGUGCCUAAUACAUGCAAGUCGAGCGGACCUGCGGGAGCUUGCUCCCAAUGGUCAGCGGCGGACGGGUGAGUAACACGUGGAUAACCUGCCUGUAAGACUGGGAUAACUCCGGGAAACCGGGGCUAAUACCGGAUAUGAUUUUCGUUCGCAUGAACGAAGAUGGAAAGGUGGCUUUUAGCUACCACUUACAGAUGGAUUCGCGGCGCAUUAGCUAGUUGGUGAGGUAACGGCUCACCAAGGCGACGAUGCGUAGCCGACCUGAGAGGGUGAUCGGCCACACUGGGACUGAGACA
rnacentral:rRNA from 1 species